rnacentral:tRNA from 1 species
AAAGGGAGACCUAAUUCAGGUAGGAGGCGAAAAAAAAGUAGUCGCUACCAAGAAUCAAUCCCAAAAGGUCGGAGCGAGGCGAAAUUGGCUUUCAAACUAGGUUCUGGGUUCACACAAGACCUGAAUCAGGAACAAGGGCUAUUAGCUCAGGUGGUUAGAGCGCACCCCUGAUAAGGGUGAGGUCCCUGGUUCGAGUCCAGGAUGGCCCACCUGCACAGGUGGCAAAAACAAGAGAAGCGAGGAAUCAGCACCUUAUCUUACUUAUAUAGUAAGAGAGAAUGCUGGCUCUGAGUAAAGAGUCCAGAGGAACCUUGAAAACUGCAUAGAGCUAGGUGAAAAAGCCAAAAAAGAAGACCGCAAG